rnacentral:rRNA from 1 species
UACGUACGAGGCGAGCGUUAUCCGGAAUUACUGGGCGUAAAGCGCGCGCAGGCGGACCAUUAAGUUGGGCGUGAAAUCUCCCGGCCUAACUGGGAGGGGUCGCCCAAGACUGGUGGUCUUGAGGACAGCAGAGGUGGGUGGGAUUCCUGGUGUAGUGGUGAAAUGCGUAGAGAUCAGGAGGAACACCGGUGGCGAAGGCGGCCCACUGGGCUGUCACUGACGCUGAGGCGCGAAAGCGUGGGGAGCGAACAGG